CCUCACACCUAUUCUUUUCUCUACUUUUUACAAAUGAGGAAACUGAGGCAUAGAGAGGGGAAGCCACCUGCCCAGAACCUCCAAGUCAGCAUGUGGAGGACUGAGACUCAAACCAUACUCUCCCCCAAGGCACCCUGCUGCUGCUGGCCCUCUGGGGACAGGUGACCUAAAAGGCCAGCUCCACAGCAGGUAGGGGGUGAAGGGAAAGUUGUGUGAACCCACCAGGGUGGUGAGGUCCAGUCUGUUGAUCUCUUUCCAGCUCCUGUUUUAUCUCCCACCUUGCCGCUGAGCGCAGAGGCUCUGAGAGGGAAAGGCAGUUCCGCAAAUGAGCAUCAGAGCGGGGACUAAACCCGAGAGAGGCUGGGGCAUGGGCGCUGGCUGCCUGUGGUGUGUGUCCUACUGGAGGGGGCUCUGGUUCCAGAUGGCAGCCGAACCAGGCCCAGAGAAGCAGAGUGACUUGCCCACUCACAAGCUUGAGUCCAUGGAUCCAGAACCGGGGUUCCUGAUUCUCGGCCCCGGGUCUCUGUCCAGCAUACCUGCCCUUGCACCAACACGCCUGACUUACCAACCAGCAUCUUCCUGAGCAUGGCUUAGACGGUCAGUCCCAGCUCUGCCCUCAUCACUUGGCUUCGUGACCCUAAAGGAACAAUUUCCCUCUCUGGGCCUCAGUUUACCCAACUGUAAAACAAAAGUGUUAAGCCGGUUACCUGAGAUAAAAAUCAAGGCACAUCACCAGCAGUGCAUACCUCUCUGGGAGGCCAAAUUCCCCAUCCGUCCCUGCCACUGCCCUUUUAACCAGAUGUGACAUUCUCUGUCCUAAAGUGAACUUGGAGGUGUCUGGGUGAGUGCCAGCAGUCGUGCAGGAGUGAGGAGUGGAAGGGGAGGUCUACUGGGGAAGGGAUCCCCCAUGUGCCGUGGGAACAGGGGUAGAAGCCCCUUGGACUCUGAGUCCGCACAUCUCCCAGAGCCUCAAAAUCAUUCUGCUCUCUCCUGAGGUUUCUGUAAAUGGGCCUUGACACCCCCCACCUCUUUCCCACCAGCACCAUGCUGCUUAUCAGUUUGGAAUCUUAGGAUGAAGAACAACCCAUCCCCUGAGUAAUUUAAAGUCCAGAGAGCUCUUGACCCAACCCAGUAAGCCAGUGGGAAGGCCUAGUGUGUCCACUCCCUGAGCUCAAA
rnacentral:lncRNA from 1 species